UACGGAGGAUGCAAGCGUUAUCCGGAAUGAUUGGGCGUAAAGCGUCCGCAGGUGGCAAUGUAAGUCUGCUGUCAAAGCGUCUGGCUUAACCAGAUAAAGGCAGUGGAAACUACAUAGCUAGAGUAAGGUAGGGGUAGAGGGAAUUCCUGGUGUAGCGGUGAAAUGCGUAGAGAUCAGGAAGAACACCGGUGGCGAAAGCGCUCUGCUGGACCUUAACUGACACUGAGGGACGAAAGCUAGGGGAGCGAAUGGG
rnacentral:rRNA from 1 species